rnacentral:lncRNA from 1 species
GGCACUGCCUAGGUGGGCCGGGCGGUGCGAGGGUCGCCUUUCAGCCUUUACCUCUACCCACUGAAAUGGAGUAGGUCGGUGAGCGCCGAUCUGCUGGAGAAUCUCAUUAUCCCAUCGGCGCUCUGCCUGCUCCUGGCCUCCAAGCCUCUGAAGCCCCUCGGGUUUCAGCUGCCGGCUACCCUCGAGCCCGUGGUGCCCACGAGAGAGGCGACUUUACGUCAGCGGCCCUGGGCUGAGAUUUGAGAACGCGACCAAGUGGAGAAUGUUGGAGCCAGAUUUUAAAAUCCUUGUCUUCCUUCUGCGUGCUACUUGAUCUAAAUGAGAUACGGCAAAGUCACAGAACCUGUUUUUAUGUUUUUGCCUGAUUCAUACGGGCUUCUCCGGUGAAGAUGGGCCUGAAGUAACGCUUGGGUUGCUUCUGACGUUAUAACUCAUCCUGUAGCUGCAGCAACCGUGGUCCUUGCAACCUCAUAAAAAUGUUGCCAGCAUUGUUUCGAUAGUGCUGCUUAAUUCUUGGAAGGCCUCUUUGCUUUCUUCCCUGAGGUUCUUCGGACUUCACACAUUCCAGCAGUAGCUCUCUCAGCUCCUGUCCUGCACAGCUUUGAAGUGCUGCAAGGCCCCAAUCUGCAAGCCAGGAAGAGUCGUCACGAGAACCAGACCAUGCAGGAACUCUGAUCGUGGACAUUUCAACCUCCAGAACUGUGAUCCAAAAUGCAUAUGUAUCUUUGGAAGAAACUCUGAAGUAAAGGCCGGAAUAUUCUUUGUUUAAAACAUUAAAAACAAAACAGACCAAAGCAUCAAGCAAGAAGUUUCCUGGCAAUAAACUAAGCACAGCAUUAUUUUUUAAGGAACACAAAUUAAGUGUUCAACCUGUGGCAAAUUUGUACUUUCUCCCUGAAUUAUGUUGUUAUCAAAGAAAAAAAUUGGGAAGCAUGGCAAAAUAUCAUCAAAACUGAAA